rnacentral:lncRNA from 1 species
GGAGACAAUCUUGCAGAGGAUCGAAAAUACUACUCAGGAAUUAGGGCUAAUCGGAGACAGGGACAACUCCGCUAGCGACUUGAGGGGAAACAAAAUUUGCUGAAUUUAUGCAACCUGUUGCGAUAAUGCACCUACAACUCGAGGGAGGCAAUUACAAACUCAGCUGGGGAAACUAACAAAAUUCGGCUGGAGAUUGAAAAG